AUACGUAGGGGGCGAGCGUUGUCCGGAAUCACUGGGCGUAAAGGGUGCGUAGGUGGUUAUGCAAGUCAGGUGUAAAAGGCAUUGGCUCAACCAAUGUAAGCACUUGAAACUGUAUAACUUGAGUACAGGAGAGGUAAGCGGAAUUCCUAGUGUAGCGGUGAAAUGCGUAGAUAUUAGGAGGAACACCAGUGGCGAAGGCGGCUUACUGGACUGUAACUGACGCUGAGGCACGAAAGCGUGGGGAGCGAACAGGAUUAGAUACCCUGGUAGUCCACGCCGUAAACGAUGAGUGCUAGGUGUUGGCAUGCGAGUGUCAGUGCCGGAGUUAACACAUUAAGCACUCCGCCUGGGGAGUACGGUCGCAAGACUAAA
rnacentral:rRNA from 1 species